CUAAAUUUGUUCUGAAAGAAAGUUCCUGCUAAAGACACAGAUCAUAUUUAUUACAAACUGAUUGCUUGGCAAACAGCCCUGGGAACUGCUGGGUGACAGUGACUGAAGGCAGUGCAGUCAUCAAUGGAAGAUCACUGUGGAUACGUUGGAGGAACCUGAGACAGAGAAUUCUGCUGUGAACAGCACGGAGGAGGACGGGGCAGACAUGGCAGGGGUCCAGCCAUGCCACAAGUCAGGACCUGUUCAAGACUCCAUCACAGUCUAGUCACUCCUGCCAACCAAGCAAGAAGAGUGCGAUGAAGGGGAAGGGACCUUGGGGGGAAAAAAAAUCUGUGUUACUCUUGGAAAGACAAGGGAGGGAACCUGAAGUGUCACGCAGCUAGCUGCCAGAAACAUAUAUGCAGCCCAGUUGGCAAAGAGCAAAUGAUUGGUCCUGCCUGUCAGCUCCAUGUGUUUCCUGGUCUUUAUUCUCUGUAGUGUUACCACAUGUCACAGAAUAAGUAACAAAGCAUUAACCGUAAUUGCAGGCUUCCCACUAAAAUAAAAACACAGAAAACAGCUCUGCAAUUUAAUAUUUGUAACAAAUUAUGAAAAGAUGACUCGGUGCUCCUGAAUAAAUGCUGAAAUUCACCAGCUAACUCAUUAAGGCUUCUGUUCUGGGGGGGGAGGGGGGAAGGAAGCCAGGACUGAGGCCACUUAGAUGAUGUCAUGUGGUAGACAGCACUUAAAAGCCAUAUGGGGAACAUAGGAUGGAAGUUUUCUCUCCUGAUUCUGGCUCCCACAAAAGGGUCCAGAGAUUAUUCCUCAGAUCCUAUGUGACUAGAGCUGCAGAGCUAUUGUACCAUGGGGCAACACACAUAUUCUCCAUAUUUCAAUAUAUAUGAAAAACCUUAAACCCUUGGCACACACACAUGAUGGAGUCUCUGGGCUGUUAUCUGGUGGAUUCUCUCAAAGAUAGACACAUGAUUUUCCAAAAGAAUAUGCAGUUUCUGGAAAAAUCAGAAUUUUCAACAGAAAAUUUUUAUUUUGCCAACAAUUUUCAAUUUUCCAUCAUACAAGGGCCUGUGACCCAGUUACUCUAACCCUGCCUGGAUUUCCAGUUGUUAUUGGUCUAAGCUAGUCUGGUUUUUAAACUUACUGGAGAUGGGCUGAGGAGGAGGCAGUGUCCAUAUCUAGAUCCGGAUGAGGUUCCAGAUGGGGGUUUGAUAAUGUAAAAAUCUUCUAAGCUGUUCAUGGGAGAUUUCAGCUGCAGCAGAAUCUAAGCCAGAAAACAGGCCUCUUGGAACCAAAGCUACAGUGCAGGGAUUGGAACCCCAUUCCUCCAGAGACUCAUUGAAGGUUGUACUUUUGGAUGCGUGUCUAAAACUCCCACCUCCAAAGAAGAAAGAAAAACAAGUGUGUACAAGGCAUAAGGUUAAAUUGUUUAUUCCCCACAUCUGCCUGGAUUCUUAGUGUGGCUAUCCCCACUAUUAUUAAUAUGAUUUACCUCAUUCUGGGUUGGAGUCAGCCAUGAUUUUUUCUUGAAUUUAAAAUAAAACAAAAACAACGGAAUUAAAUCAUGUUGUCAAUAAAUAUAUUUUGUCUCAUUAAAACUUACAGUUUAUUUUAA